rnacentral:rRNA from 1 species
UGGGGAAUAUUGGACAAUGGACCAAGAGUCUGAUCCAGCAAUUCUGUGUGCACGAUGAAGUUUUUCGGAAUGUAAAGUGCUUUCAGUUGGGAAGAAAGAAAUGACGGUACCAACAGAAGAAGUGACGGCUAAAUACGUGCCAGCAGCCGCGGUAAUACGUAUGUCACGAGCGUUAUCCGGAUUUAUUGGGCGUAAAGCGCGUCUAGGUGGUUAUGUAAGUCUGAUGUGAAAAUGCAGGGCUCAACUCUGUAUUGCGUUGGAAACUGUAUAACUAGAGUACUGGAGAGGUAAGCGGAACUACAAGUGUAGAGGUGAAAUUCGUAGAUAUUUGUAGGAAUGCCGAUGGGGAGGCCAGCUUACUGGACAGAUACUGACGCUGAAGCGCGAAAGCGUGGGUAGCAAACAGGAUUAGAUACCCUGGUAGUCCACGCCAUAAACGAUGAUUACUAGGUGUUGGGGGUCGAACCUCAGCGCCCAAGCAAACGCGAUAAGUAAUCCGCCUGGGGAGUACGUACGCAAGUAUG